UACUCAUCGUGAUGUUAGAACUAACUACACCUCUGCAAUAUUUUCACGGCCGAAGUGGGUGCUCGCUUUAAAAUAAAACAGUAGAGAAUCUCGCUUGGCGGCCGGUACUCGCUCAGCGUAGCGUGUCGAUAACGCGGAAAUUACACGUUCGAGGAAAAAUAACUUUAAGGAGAGCAGUAUUACGAAACAUUUUCGUUUGAAAGUGAAUUAUUUCAAAGUCUUACAAAACGUCCUUAAUCAGUCAGUCAAUUCAGAAUAUUCGGUGUUACGGUCGGUGCCUAGUUAGUUUGAAAACAGUGUUAUAAAGUGUAGUGGUAUAAAAGUGAGAAAAUUGCAAGGAAAUAAUUGCUUGAUACGCUAGAAGCCAUGAAAAACAUUGACGACGACCAUGACUGAAAAAGGAGAAGUUAAUAGAAUGCUGGGUAAGUGUUUGUAUCCGAAUUACACCUUCUUUUAUUAAGAAUGAUUUCUCAAAAAAUCAUCA